AUUCUUCAAGGGCCAGACAGGCCAGUGUGGCAGAGCAACGGCCGAGCAGUUUGUGGAAAGCGGUGGAGAAAGAGCCGAAGAUGUCAUGUCCACUUAUGUCCAGACGGACCAUGGACUCACUGUGGAGGCUGUUGGAAAGUUUCCGAGCCCCAAACGUGACUGCUUCAUUAAUGCCAACAGUCUACAUGUGAUGCCAUUUACGCAAUCAACCCCCCCCAACAGUCUGUCUGUCUGGAGAAGGAAAGCAGUACCAGAUGUGGAGACUUUUUUUCAGUGCAGUCGGGUAUAAAGACCUUGCUGUUCGGACGGGGUGGCUGUGUUGCACUUCACAGACCUAGACAUCUCUUUAUAGAGAGAUGGAGGAGGAAGGGGCGGAAGAAUAAAUAUACGACCGCCUCCAAACACCUUUUAUGUCUCCUGGAUGUGAUGUGAGCAAAUACUGUUUAUCCCAAAACUGGCUUAACUGAGGUGAAACUGUUGGCACUGCAAUAAACCAGUGUGGGGAGGCUGCUAA